CGCAGAGGGCGUUCCCAUAGCGUUUCGACGCAGCAUCUCGUUCCUCAGGGAACUAUGGUUACGGUCGUAACCUAGAGACGUUCUCCUCUGACAUCUGGACUGGCCAAUCAUAUUGCCCUUGGACGUUUUUUGCAAACCAUGGAGGAUCAUACCAGCAUCCCUUUUCCACACAAUUUGAUAAGAAAAGCAUUUUAUCAUUUCUCUGCUCUGAGGGAGUACUCCUAUAACUAUUCAUGUGUCAGAUGUGGCCACAGUCCUCCGGUUUUGGUUGCAGAUGGAAACUGGCAAAUUGCAUUUGAUUUACCAGCACAUCUGUUUAGACGGCCAAAUUUGGACAAAAUCAGCCAAGAGGAUACUCAAGUUAAUGUCAGGACAAGAUGGGAGACCCUUGAGAAGGAAAUGACUGCUUCUGGGUUCUGUGAUGGCAACAAAUGUGCCAAUCCUUAUUCACGUCCCUUGUCAUACACUGCCUUUACUCCUUGGCUGGGUGACUGCUCUAGGGUAAGCGAUAUUGUUCCAAAGACAGAAGUGUACAAAGGUCUAUCUCCAAAAGAUCGUGCUUUCACCUCUAGCUGUGGCUUGGAGAUAGAUGAAGAAGCCAUUUUGCAAGUGCUGGAGUCCAAAACUCCAAAGAAAGAAGCCUUGGUCAAAGCCUGCAAUGCCCUUGGAGUAUCACACGUGGGUAGUACCACUGACUUAAUAAACAGACUUGAGGAGCUACUCCUUUACAAGAACUUGAGGGCGAGGGCGAGUAAAUGACAGUUUAAAACUUUGGACUGAUGCAUCCUCAAAAGACUGCAUCUUAUUUCCGAUUUGCAAAUCAGGUCACUGGACCUUAUGUGUAAGUUGUUGAUUUCUUCAAAUAACAUUCAUUUAAUUUUGGAAAUAUCUUAAUCAUCCAAGGUUUUGCUUCCAUCCAAGGUUUUGCCUGACAGCCAUAUUUUAUAUUGUUAAUGUUAAUUUUUACGGUAAUCAUAAUUAGGCAAACCAACACACAGGCAGGCUAUGUUGUAGGAAGUUGUGCUUUGUGUAUUCUGCAGGUAUUGAUCCCGAAACUUAAAAGGAUACACAUCCUUGACUCCACUGACCCUAGAGGUUAUGGAGAUGCUGACUGUGCACCAUGUUCAGGUUUAUAAUUCCAUUCCAUAGUCCAAAGUUCCGUUGGACAAAAACUGUUCUGUGUUCCAGUUUUAUGCAUUAUAUGUAAGGAGUAAUUGACUCCGGGCCGUUGAAUUAUUAGAAAAAUAAUGCACACCCGAGGUGGUAAUGCCCGUUACACCUCGGGUGUGCAUUAUUUUUCAAUAAUUCAACGGCCCGGAGUCAAUUAUUGCACUUAUACUACGGUUACCACACCUCAAGACAUCGAUCAGAUGAUGUAUUUAAAGGGAUUCGUCCGGUUUUUGUACAUAAUCUAAACCCUAUCUGUGAAGCCGGGCUUCAGAGUUUUACAGAUUAGUCCAGUGGUUCAGUUCAACACUUUGUUCUCUGGCUUUAGAUAGGCAUAGACAGUGGCUCCCUAGUUCAGGUAUGCUGCUGUCUAUACCUGCUACAACAUGGCUAAGUGGUUCAACACGGAGUUCAUCUCUCUUUCUCUUUCUCUCGUGUGUGUGUAUAAAAUAACUAACUUUUUCCCCUUCUUGCUCAAUUGCAAUAAAGAUGGUUCCGGGAUCUUGGAAGCUUGUUAAAGAUAAGUUAUUGAUUUCACGAUUUCAUUACAACAAUUUUGUUUUUUCUGCCAUCUUUAGUGUAUAAAUAAAAUGUUAGUUUCUCCAUUAAGAUUUUUUUUCCCAGGGUGUUCCAGCACAGUUUGGAUCCGUGGAAUGCGGUGUAUUCAUGCUAAUGUAUGCACUGUACAAGGUGUUUAACUGGGAGUUUGACACCCAGCAUGAUAUGGCCCAUAUCAGGCGGUGGUGGGUGAAUCUGCUCUUAUCAAAAAUGACACAUGGAAGAAAGAAGAAGUGCGCAUCAGCCUUGUCGGAAGUAAUCCAUGAAGAGACAAAACAGGAGACAGGACAAGUACUGAACAUCGAAAUUUUGAUGUUGCCAGACUCUGUCCUGUCUGAAAUUCUUCUUCACGUGGUCCUUGAGGAGGGUGAUUCUGGAUUGUUAAAUUUGUCUUUAGUUUGUUCAAAAUUCAAAAGUCUGGUGGAUACAUACUCAUUUAGGAGGAGGGCACACUUCUGCUGGCUUGACAGUGUAACAAAUUGGAGAGAGAGGUCUGUGAAGUGUCAAGAGUACUACAAGAUGUACAAACUGCAGUCCUGCAGACACUGCAAUGAAAUUUAUAAGAACUGCUUACCAGGUGUAUAAAUUAUAAAUGAAAAUGUGAUCACUGAUAGCUGCUUAAUGACACAAUGCAAUAAGAAUAGUCAUUCAUGUGGCUGCAUCCAUGUGUACUGUUAAUAAUGUAUUUUGGAUAUUAAUGUCACAAUUUUCUUAUGAAUCGUCUAGGUUAUGUUGGAAGAGAAAAAAGAGGAGUAAUGCAUGGCUUUUACUCAGAAAACACUCAUCCAGGGUUUUGCAGUGAAUGGUGCCAGCUACUGGAGAGUGAAUUGCAACCAGUUCCAAUAUGAAAGUGUAGAGAAAGCCUAAAGAAAAAAGAAUUAGGAAAAGAAAAAGUUUGAAGUUAAAGGUUUGUUAGAAAAAAAAAUAUUUAAAAUUUUUUUUUGUUGUUUACGAUAGUCUCUGGCCUGCGAUGGCUCUACCGAUGAAACUAUUCAAUAAAUGUUUACGUAUUUGAUUGUA